AGUCUUUGAACGCAAGUUGCGCCCGAAGCUUCGGUUGAGGGCACGUUUGCCUGGGUGUCACACAUGGCGUUGCCCCAACCCCUCGCCCUGAAUUGGGCGGGCGGGACCUGGGUGCGUAUGUUGGCCUCCCGAGAUGACCUUAUCCCGGUUGGCCUAAAAUCGAGCGUCGGAGCGAUUAGCACCACGACAUUCGGUGGUUGAUGAGACCCCAAUGAUCAAUGUCGUGCGUGUCGCUCAUGCGCAUGCUCCACGAAUCUAUCUUUCACCAACGCGACCCCAGGUCAAGCGGGGCUACCCGCUGAGUUUAAGCAUAUCAAUAAGCGGAGGAAAAGAAACUAACAAGGAUUCCCCUAGUAACGGCGAGCGAACCGGGAAGAGCCC
rnacentral:rRNA from 1 species